UACGUAGGGGGCAAGCGUUUGUCCGGAAUCAUUGGGCGUAAAGAGCGUGUAGGCGGCCCGAUAAGUCCGCCGUGAAAGUCCAGGGCUCAACCCUCAGAGGCCGACCGAUACUGUUGGGCUAGAGUCCGGAAGAGGCGAGUGGAAUUCCUGGUGUAGCGGUGAAAUGCGCAGAUAUCAGGAGGAACACCAAUGGCGAAAGGCAGCUCGCUGGGGACGUUACUGACGCUGAGACGCGAAAGCGUGGGGGAGCAAAACAGG
rnacentral:rRNA from 1 species